rnacentral:tRNA from 1 species
GUUAUUGUUGCUUGAGCAGAGGACUUUUGAUCCUUGGGUCGUAGGUUCGAAUCCUACUGGGAGCA